GCCAGAAAAAGCCCAACCAAAAACCCAAAACCCAAACAACUUAACAAAAACAUUUUUCAAGAGAAGUAGCUGAGAACGAACCUCAAACUGACGCCCUAGAGAAAGUACUGCAAAGGAAAAACGAAAAACAUUAAAAUAUAAAGCACAAAAAAGCAGAAAUAAAAACACGUACCUCUUGCAUCACCGUCUAGCAAGACAGACCAAACAAGACGCCACCAAGUAUGCCACCCCGAAUGUGGGUGAGCUAUUAUUUAGCAGUCCACUGGGACUAACUCGUUUCUGUAGCAAAAGAAUGAGAAGACUUAAUAAUAGAGGCGAAAAACCUAUCGAACCCACCGAUAGCUGGUUACCUGAUAAAUGAAUAUAAGUUCAACCUUGGAUUAACUUCUACAAUACAACAAAAUCAAUACUUCAACCCAAGAUUUAGUCCAUGAAGGUACAGCUCCAUGGACAAGGGGUACAACCCAAUAUGAAGAGAAUAUAAUAACCACAAACCCGUGGGCCUUAAAACAGCCACCACUAAAUAUUACGUUAUAGUAACCACACUAAAAAUACAAUUAAUUUUACAAAACUCUCAACCCAAACCAGGCUAUUCUACCCACAUAGAAGAAACCAUGCUAAAACCAGUAAUAAGAAAAACUCUCUUAGACAAAAGUCAUACACACCAGACCAAAAACCACAUGAAACUUAGUACACAAAUCAUCAUAUAAACUGUAAACCCAACACAGGUUUGUCAAAAGAAAGGCACAAAUCUUCAAAAGGAACUCGGCAACCAAUCUUUCCAACUGUUUACCAAAAACAUAGCCAUUAGCCAAACAAAUACUAAAGGUACCGCCUGCCCAGUGAGUAUUUUACUUAAACGGCCGCGACUAAACGUGCAAAGGUAGCGCAAUCACUUGUUCCAUAAAUAGGGACCCGUAUGAACGGCCACAUGAGAAAGAAACUGUCUCUUGAAGAUAGCCAAUGAAACUGAUCUGCUUGUUAAAAAGCAAGUAUAACCAAGCUAGACAAAAAGACCCUGUGAAACUUAAAACUAAGCAUUAAACAAAUAAUGCCUAACUUUUAGUUGGGGCAACUUAAGAAAUACUAAACAUCUUAAAUACCAUAAACCAACAAGUUGAAGCCACUAAACAAAAGAUCCGGCACGGCCGACUAACGAACCAAGCUACUCCAGGGAUAACAGCGCCAAAUUCUUUAAGAGUCCACAUCAACAAGAAUUCUUACGACCUCGAUGUUGGAUCAGGGUACCCAAACAGUGCAGAAGCUGUUAACGGUUCGUUUGUUCAACGACUAAGACCCUACGUGAUCUGAGUUCAGACCGGAGCAAUCCAGGUCGGUCUAUAUCUGCUAUUUAUGCCUCAUCUAGUACGAAAGGACCGAUGAAGCAGAGCCAACCUCACCAUAAGGCACUCUAACCACCACGCCCUGAAAAAACUAAAGCGCAAAACAAGUUUUAAUCUACAGCCAAAGAAAAUGGCUCAU
rnacentral:rRNA from 1 species